rnacentral:sRNA from 1 species
GUAGCCACUGCUAUAACUAUCAAAGUUUUGCUCUCCGUUGUCAGGUGUUGGCUUAAAUCAGAGGAGCCUACAAUGCGAAAUAGAAGCUAUGCAUUAGAUACAUUAUCCCCUUUCCACCCCCUGACCCGUCCGCCGUCCCGCACACCCAGUUACCCAACUAGAGAACGACGUCCUUCCCCGCCUAAAUGACCGAACCCACCAUUGGCGUUUCAAUUUGAGUUGCCAGAGUAUUCGCCUAAUAAGCCUUAUCAUCUUCGGCAGGAGGAACAACGUAGUAGACGUAACCGGCGCCGCCAGCAACAUCACCCUUGGGGACGAGUUUUCCAGCAGGCUUCUGCAAUGACUAUCAGUAAUUGUUCGACAUCAUCAAAAUGAAAGCUCCUGUACAUAUGUCCGCGGAUGUGGCAGAGACGAGAGCAGCCGCGA